GGCUUUUGUGGGAGGUGGGGGAAGCGACAGAGGGCAGCCCCUCAGUCCCUUCCCCCACCUCCCACAAAAGCC
rnacentral:miRNA from 1 species